rnacentral:lncRNA from 1 species
UUUUUUUCUCCUUUAUUUAGGGUAUCUCUCAAAUCCAGUAUAGGUUGACAUAAAUUUAAAAAUGUACGAUGUUCCUUUCUAGAAGUGAAUGUUCAGUCCCGGAGACCCAAGAUAAAAAGAAACAUACAUGAUAAUUAAAACAAUAUCGUAAUGCACAUUUUUAGACUCGAUUGUGCUAGGAAACCACAAGUUUAAGUUCAGAUUCUCUCUUUUCUAACCUAGCAUGGACAGCUUCAUUUCUAGUCUUAUAAGAGAGUCCCAAACGCCAAUAUGAAAAGUGGAAACUAUUGAGAGACAAGUUGUGAAUUUCUCUUGGGUGUGAAUUUUUAGCCCAAAAGAAUGUGAAAAUAUAAAUAGGCAGGGUACUAUAUUGUCAUCCCAUUUCAUUAGGUAUAUAGCUUUAACCAACAUAUUUGGCCACUAUUUAUUUUAUUUACAUGACUAAUGUUUGUUAAUUCUGGAAAGAUUACAACAACCAGGAGAUCUUUUAAGUCACAGUUUUAGUAAUUCCUUCUUAAAUGUUUUAAGGCACAAAGUGAAUGUUUUACUAAUUUCAAGUGGAAAUGGCAAUCAGGGCAAAAGAAUGAAAAAUAAGUCAGCUAAUAGACUAAAAGUGAUCUCAGGGGCAACUGGGUGGCUCACUUGGUUGACCGGUUGAGUGUCUGACUCUUGAUUUCACCUCAGGUCGUGAUCUCAUGGGUCCUGAGAUCUAGCCCUCCCCCCAGGGAGGAGUGAUCCUUGGGGAGUCUGCUUGAGAUUCUCUCUCUCCCUCUCCCCCUCCUGUGCCCCCUCCCGUGUGUGCAUGUGCACAUGCACUCUCUCUCUCUCUCUCAUAAAUAAAAUAAAUCUUAAAAAAAGUGAACCCACACUUAGAAAAAUGACAGAAAACUUGUUAAAGAAUUAUUAUGCCUCUAGAACAUAUUUGCAGUUGUACUAUAUUAUUCACAUGAACAUUUACAACAAUGCUCUUCCAUUUUCUGUACUCCUCUUUUAGUACCAAAGGGGGAAAAUACUGUGGGCCGGGAGUAGACCAAUUGUUCUCAAGCAGGGUCAAUUUUGCCCCCCAGAAGACGUUUGGCAAUGUAUGGAGACACUUUUGGUCAUCACCAAGAGGGGAUGAGGUGCUACUGGCAUCUGGUAGAAGCUGCUAAACAUCCUAUGGUAUGCAGGACGAUCCUCCACAAUAUGGAAUUAUCCUGUCCAAACGUCAAUAACAUCAAGGCUGAAGACUAAAACAAAACAAACAAAAACAAGACAAAACAAAAGGAUGCUCAAUUGAGAUUUUCUUUUCCUAUUGUUUAUCCCUCCUUCCUGGAGCAAAAUUAAUAAAAUACAUAAUAAAACAAUUGUCAUCAUAAUCACCUUCCUGGUUUUAUUGAUGUCUUUAAUUUUCCCUUUAAAAUAAUUUUUCAAAGUUCCAAAGCUGUUCUCGCAGAUAUAGAUUUUUUUUGGAGUGUUGUCUUUUUCUCCUGGUACUUUAAAUCUCAGGUGCUACUUUUUUCGUCCCUCCUCAGGAUCAGACCCUCUAGAAGCAAAACCAGAAUUUUUCUGGGCCUAGCCCAUGGAAUAAUCUGUACUUUCAAAACAAGAGAAGGAAAAAAGAGAAGCCAGGAGCCACAGUCCCUUAUCCCUAGAAACUGGUAAAGUAGCUUUACAAGGAUGUCCCCAAUGGAAUUGAGCAAGUAAGAUGAAAAUGUGGUAGAAAAUUCUAAACUCCUAUGAACUUCGUUUUCUCUCAUUUAAAAAUGAAGACAGGAAACACAAUAAUCUUCCAGCCUCACAUUUCCCAAAAUAUAUUCCUUAACAAUAGCUCUCUCAGAAAAAGGACUCAGUGGUCAAAUAAUAUUAGCAAACAUACUACUGCCAUCCUUGGAGGUCCUCAGUACACAUUAAUAUACUAAAGAUUCUGAGCAGCAGUUCAAUAAAAUCUUUAUUUUGGAGUUAUAAUUAAUCUAGUGUUUCUGAAAGUUGACCAGAGUAAUAUUUUCAUUGUGGUAGGUUUUAUUACCUACUUUGCACCUGUUAACAUUUGGGAAGCACUAACCCAGGUUUUCUAAUGUAGAAUAAAAUCGUUCCCUUUCAUCUCAUCUUAAAGAGCAUAUAUGCUUGCAUAUUUAUGUACGUCAUAAAACGCAAUCUUUUUAAGAUAGUAAAGAAUAAUUCUGAAUGUUCAAAAGCUACCUAGCUAAUGCUGCAUGCACUAAUUACUAAAGAUGUUCAAGAAGUUAAAAAUCCAUCAGGUAAUACAAAACACUCUCCAGUUAAAAACAUUCUUUCCAGCCAAAGCCAGAUAGACUUUCAAAAGCCACCUCAUUUUGUGCUCACAUUAGCCUGUUCAAAGAACAUACAAACCUAAAUGACCAAAAUUCUUUUUUCAGUUAAUAUUUCUGUCAAUGAAGUGAUUUUAUCGCUGGACGGCAUGUAGACUUUAAAUAUUGCAUAUUCAUAAACAAUAUGUGUUUACUCUUUUCAUUCUUGAAAAAUUAAUCUCAUUUCUCUAUCAUUCUUAAAGUCUAUAUUACAUGUAUCAAUCUGAUCUGCUUCUGAGUGAAAAUAAGAGUUAGUAGAGUAAUAACAACAAAGAGCAUGGAAAUGCAUCCAGAACUGCCCCACCUGCUUUACAUGUAGUCUUUCCCUCCCAACAACCCCAAGCAGUGAGAACAAUUAUUAUUCCCAUUUGAGAGCCAAGAUUCAAGCUAACGGCACAAUAUUAACUAUGAUGAUAGAUAUCAGUGGAAUAAGCAUUUUACAUUUAGCAAACCCUUUACAAACAUCAUCCCC